GCGGGCUCGCGGCCCAACCUCCCACCCUUGUCUCUAUACACCUGUUGCUUUGGCGGGCCCACCGGGGCCACCUGGUCGCCGGGGGACGCACGUCCCCGGGCCCGCGCCCGCCGAAGCGCUCUGUGAACCCUGAUGAAGAUGGGCUGUCUGAGUACUAUGAAAAUUGUCAAAACUUUCAACAAUGGAUCUCUUGGUUCCGGCAUCGAUGAAGAACGCAGCGAAAUGCGAUAAGUAAUGUGAAUUGCAGAAUUCCGUGAAUCAUCGAAUCUUUGAACGCACAUUGCGCCCCCUGGCAUUCCGGGGGGCAUGCCUGUCCGAGCGUCAUUUCUGCCCUCAAGCACGGCUUGUGUGUUGGGUGUGGUCCCCCCGGGGACCUGCCCGAAAGGCAGCGGCGACGUCCGUCUGGUCCUCGAGCGUAUGGGGCUCUGUCACUCGCUCGGGAAGGACCUGCGGGGGUUGGUCACCACCAUGUUUUUACCACGGUUGACCUCGGAUCAGGUAGGAGUUACCCGCUGAACUUAUGCAUAUCA
rnacentral:rRNA from 1 species